AUUGAACGCUGGCGGCAUGCCUUACACAUGCAAGUCGAACGGCAGCAUGGAGGAGCUUGCUCCUCUGAUGGCGAGUGGCGAACGGGUGAGUAAAGCAUCGGAACGUACCGUGUAGUGGGGGAUAACGUAGCGAAAGUUACGCUAAUACCGCAUACGCACUGAGGUGGAAAGCAGGGGAUCGCAAGACCUUGCGCUAUACGAGCGGCCGAUGUCAGAUUAGCUAGUUGGUAGGGUAAAGGCCUACCAAGGCGACGAUCUGUAGCGGGUCUGAGAGGAUGAUCCGCCACACUGGGACUGAGACACGGCCCAGACUCCUACGGGAGGCAGCAGUGGGGAAUUUUGGACAAUGGGGGAAACCCUGAUCCAGCCAUGCCGCGUGAGUGAAGAAGGCCUUCGGGUUGUAAAGCUCUUUCGGCUGGGAAGAAAUCGCACAGGCUAAUACUCUGUGUGGAUGACGGUACCAGCAUAAGGAGCACCGGCUAACUACGUGCCAGCCGCCGCAGUAAGAC
rnacentral:rRNA from 1 species